CUACCGAGGUCGAGAGGCUGAGGGAUAUCGGUAUGGAAGUCAGCCGAGGCCGUAGUAAGGCGAAUUAUUCGUCAUGAAGGGC
rnacentral:ncRNA from 1 species